CACAUAUUCGAAUAUAUACUUGCAGGAAAAUUUCCAACAUUUUUUAGUAUGUGCGCAACCAAAGCUUACUCUGCAGAAUGUUGUAACUCAUUAGUGAUCAGAACAAAGUACAGAGAUAGAGUUAGAGUUGUAUCAAAUAAUUCCAAGUUUUUUAGAACUAAUUACUCCUUAGAUACCUAAUUAUGUUUUAAUCUUUCUCUUUUUAAUGCUUAAUAAGUACUACCAUAGGCCGAAGCACUUCCUAAGCACUAUCUAUUUCUAGUUAAAUUAACUCGGGCUGCAUAAUCAGAAGAGCUUGAAGGGAAAAAGGAUAACUAGAGAAACCAAUUUCAACAUACGAAACAAUAGAACAUCCUGGUUUACAUAUCUAAAAUUCGAAACGACCAGCAGUCAUUCUGAUUCUAGAUUUGACGAAUACACUUUACUGAGAGUACAUCUGAUCUAAGUAAAGAAAACCAAACAAAAAUUCACAAAUUACAUUAAAAAAAUCAGCUUUUUCACAAACAAUGAAUUUACUCCACAAUGCCAAAUCAGCCAUCACUUAUUAACACACACACACGACAUAAAUCAUAAAACCCCGCAUACUCUAACAACAGAUAUUUAUUUCAUAAAUAAAAAAGAAAAAACUUACACUUUUUCAACAAUAUUAGAUGUCAAGCUAAAUAUAUCAACAACUACUCAGGUUAUAAAGUGUUAACUGAGAACUUACUCACCUAUUUUUGGACAGGAGAUAUGAAGUAUAUCACUUUGAAUGAUGGUCGAAAAUUUUGCCUUGACUAGCAUAACACAACAGUGCUGGAUCCUAAAAACUAUAUAAAAUUAAGAGAACAACAUUAAUUUUUAAACCUAGGUUUUAAACAGUAUAAAAUCCCUAAAAUUCGAAGUCUUCUGGGGGAAAUCAAUAAGAAAAAAGGAGAUCGGGUAAGAGAGAGCGAACGAGAGGGGGAGAGAUAGAGAGAGAUCGACUUACGUGGAAUUGAAUCAGAACUCGUCUCUGCGGCGUGGAGUGAGAGAGACGGGGGAAAGACUUGAGAGAAAAAUUGUAAAACGUUAAAAAUAUAAAGUUUCCCACAAACUGGUUGUAUGACAUUAAGGUCUUUCAAAACUAAAAAAAAUUAUUGCAUUUUAUAUAUUUCUCCUGGGAAAGUUUUGUGGGAAAGCUUUUUGGUAAUUAUAAAAAAA
rnacentral:lncRNA from 1 species